CAGGUGUGCGCGUGCACGUGUGUGUGUGUGUGUGUGUGUGUAUGCAUGGUAUGUGCAUGUGCAUGGACUGCAUGUGUGUGCACAGUCUGUGUGUGUGUGUGUGUGCAUGGUCUAUGCUUGUGCAUGGUCUGUGUGUGUGUGUGUGUGUGCAUGGUCCAUGCGCUUGUGCAUGGUUGUGCACGGUCUGUGUGAUUACGCACAGACUGUGUGUGUGCAUGGUCUGCACGCAUGUGCAUGCAUGGGCUGCACGUGGGUUGCACAUAUGCACACAUGGUUUGCACGUGUGUGUGCAUGGUCUGUGCAUGUCUGUGCAUUGUCUGCAUGUGUGUGUGGUCUGUACAUGUGUGUGCAUGGUCUGUGUUUGUGCAUGGUCUGUGUGUGUGCACGCACACCACCAGUUCUGGGCAUCCAUGGGUGCAUCCUGUGGCACGCUGCGUGUGUGCCCUCUGCAUGUGGGUGUGUGCAUGCACACGGCCUGAGUGUGCACGGGGUGUGCGCUCAUGCCAUCUGCACGCACACGUGCACGGUCCAUGUGUGCCCGUGUGCUUCCCUCCCCACCCAGCUGCUGUGCGAGGCUGGAUCCCUCCUUGUUUCUCAGGGCACAGCGCUGCGUGUCCCCGAGCUGCACCCGGGGGGAUUUGGCUGGCGGCGGUGGGAGAAGAGGCAAGCGGAGGAAACGCUUCAUCGUGAUUAACCUCCGCGGUGCAAAACAGUUGUUAGUAGGUACAUUUAAAGUAUAAUUACCGGCGGAGUGAUUCAUGGGGGCUUUAAUAAAUGGUUAAUCAAUGGCCACGGGGGCCGGCAGUCCCGGCUGCCUGACACGCCUGGUUAGUCCCCGCCGCAGUAAACGUGAUUCAUGGGCACGGGGGCAGCCCCCGCGCAGCCGCUCACGGCCCCCCAUGAGCCUGCGAUGCGCUGGAGCCACUGCCCUGCCCUGCACUGCCCCGCACUGCUCAGCACCGCUCCGCCACCCUGCAGCCCGCAGGGCCCCCCUGCUGCAGCUGCCUCGCAGGGCUGCAGCGACGCGCCGGCUGCUCUGCUCUGACUGAUCGCCUUCCCCUGCGCUCCUCCGCACGUAAAGGCGGCGAGGGAGCCUGCUCUGCCAUGCCCACGUUUGCAUUUUAAAGGAGGGAGCCGCAUUAACGCAAAGAAACCCGAAGAAACCUGUUGGACGGGGAUGUUCAAACCGCUUUCACGGCCGGAGAGCCCCACGCAGGAUUUGCACCGGAGGCCGGAUCUCCUGGAAGAGCACCACCUCUUGCAACACCACGAGGAUUUCUGUGCGGGGACGGGGCUGCCUCUCCAUGGCACCACGGCGCUGGGCUCCCUGCAGGGAAGCAGCCAGCCACCGCCACGGCUCACCGGGCCCUGCAGCACGGGCGUCCCCAGGCCCUCGGCACAGACCCCAGGUCACCGGGGUUUGUGGAUUUACGGCACCGCUUCUCGUGAACCGGCUGGGGGGAGCGCACAUCUGUAUGUGCAGCGGGGGAGCUGGAUGCCAGUCAGGGUUAAUUCGGGAUAAAUUUACAAGAGUGCACAGCGUGACCCAAGGUACCUCUUUAUUGGCCUGCUACAGGCCUGCUAAAUACAUUGCCCGACUACUGCACAUUAAAGCCACAUGAGCUCCUAUGUUCAGAGCGGGUUUUACAGGAAGACACGGGGAUAGAAAAAGGAGGAGAGGCUGUGUCACAAAUGACAUCCAGAUGUGAAAACACUGUAAAUACAAACAUCAAAAGGCUCACCCCUCCGCAUUUUGCGAAGACGACGCUGGAGAAAGGACUUGCUGCAUUUAAACAAAUACUCCUGGUGGGAAAGCCCCGCACCCCGCUGUCCCUGCGUGCAGCACCCCCCGGCCCACUGGGAAUCGGCCGCGCAGCCCUGGAUAAGGGGCAGUGAGCCCCGGUUCAAGGGGAGGUGUUUUCCUAAGAAGACCAGAAGUUGAAAUCUAAUAACUCCAAUCUGAAAACGGCACUCUGAAAAGCACGUGUGUAAGCAUGUGAUUAUUUAGAUAAAGUCUCCAGAGCUAUGACAUACUCCUCACUAGAAUCAAUAUCAUCCAGGGAUAGCUCUUCAACCUCGCCAGCCACAUGAAAUAAGUGAAUAAACAGAUGCCUUUUGAAGCCUUGGUAUUUGCUGCCGGGGAGAUACAACUGGCAUGAGAGCCCAGGAAAGUGAAUCUGGUAAACCAGAGGUGCCUUGAAGCGGCCGGAAGAAAUGCAAAGCUGCAUCAGUGGCAGCCCUGCAAAGAGGCCGGGGCUGAUGGCCACGGGGUGCACGCAGGGUGCCAUCCCGGAGGUUUACGUGGUGAAUUUCUCAGCUCUGGAGGACAGCUGAGAAACUGGGGACAUACAAACCAAGGCGACGCACGCCGGCGGUGCACGCUUAAACUCCUCCCAGAGCAGGGCCAGGCGUCCCAGUGGCGCGACGUGAAAACGAAGCCCGGAUGGGGAGCACUUUUGUUUUCUCCUCAUGCGGAGGCGCUGACCACAAACACCUUGCGUGCAGCCGGACCGGAGCAGACGAGGGAGUGCAGGCCGAGCCUGCCUGAUCUCUUCCAGGUGCUCGCUGGGGCUGGUGGCUUCCCUCGGCUCUGACUCCGGGCUGCAGCGUCACAGCCACCGGCUGUGCGAGCGGCAUCUGCCCCACGUGGAAACCCUCCCCUGAGACACGACUGGAGCGGGCACAGCCAGCGCGUGCGAUUGCACGGAGGGCUCUUCCCCCACCCAGCGCCAGGCCACACUUCUCCUUUCCAAGCUAAAAGCUUCAAGCAUUUCGUGGCUAGCAGCCCUGACAAUGGAAGGAGAAAGCACUUAGCCGCGGUGUUGCAUAAAGAUGUCAUGGGGAAAUCAGGGUUUUACAGGGGAGAGAGGAGAAAAACACUCAGGAAGAGCUAGGAUAAACUCAGGGCUAGAUUCAGAACGAGACGCCAGCCGCCUCCUGCUCUGCGUGCCCCCACCUGGGCUUCUGCUGGGAGGAAGCUGGAGAGAAGUUUUAUUGAAUCUUUUAUUGAAUCUGUCUCUAGGCUGGUAAAUGCGCUAGGUACCCUCGCCAGGGCCUAAAAAUAGAAGGGAAGCAGCACGGGAAUUUGCAGUGAAACUGUUAAAAUAUGCUCGGAUUUGCGUUAAAAGAAUGCGCACGCUGGGAGAAGGAGCGCGGCGGGGGAGUGCGGCGCAGCAGCCUGCCUGCGAGGCACCUGGAGCUGCUGCUGCCACUGCCGACGGCCCCGGUGCGAGGAGCAGGAGCUCGGCUGCAGCUCGGCAUCAGUUCGGCAUCAGCUCGGCAUCCCUCUGCUCCCCGGCUGCCCCCAGCUCCUCUCCCGGGCCCGAAAAUGGACGCAUGCUGCGCAACGAUGUGGCUGCCGGGAUAUUGCGGUACUCGCCAAAUCUAUAGCAGCUCGAGAGCUUAAUUUUGACAUAUAAUUUUCAUUCGCUAAGCAGAAAAGGGAGGGAAAGCCUGAAACUGUCUAAACAAAAGAAUGUUUUUUUCCACUGUGCUUUCAAAUGUUCAUAAAGCGAACAGAAUACAGUUAGAGCCGGCCCUUCGCCUCGGGGCAUCCAAGGCUAUGGCUCCAAUUAAAGAGAACAAGGAUACAGGAGGUGGUACCUCCAGUCUGAUUGCUCUCGCCUGGGGCAGCGAAGCCUCAUGAAUAAACACUGUUGACUCUAACUCUCAACAAAACAAUUACACAUUUGUUUUUAGAAUACAUUUUCUUAGCCUUUCCACUUGCAAUUUUGCUACUAUAAACUAGCCAGGACAAGAAUAAAUACCUUUGUGAUUCUCUAAACAUCCUUGUAAUUGCAGCACUUCACUCAUGAAUGUGUAUUUCAACAGAAGAAAAGAUCCGCAGCGAUGUGAAGAAACGCUUCUUUGAAGUAACCUUUCGAAAUUAGAUGCAAAAUAUUUACACCUAAUUAUUAUUAUUACAAGAACUCCUGCACACACCAGCAGCUACAGGAGCACAAACCUGGUUAUCUCUGAAGGGCGCGAGCACGAGGAGACCUGUCCAUGGAUGUAUCAGCCCGAUGCUUACAUGCCGUAGGGCAAGAUCUGCGUCCUGGUCUCCUGCCAGCUGUGGUCACCAGCGUGGGGGUCCCCAGGUCCCCACGAACCAGUGCCCUGCAUGCAAGCAGCCUGCAAACAGGCAUGAGGAGGAUGCCUGCUGGGAGGUGAGGGGCAGCUGCUCCUGGAUGAAAUGAGAGGCAUGGUGAGGCUUUUGGUCCAUUUUUGGUUUUCUGCUGAUGGUGAGGUGUAAGCCAAACAGGCAGUGAAUGGAUCCGUGUGGGAGGGGGUGCACUACUGCCUGCCAGCCCAAGCACCAGCUGCUGGAGCUGCCAGGACAAAACCUGGAGCUCGUAUGAAGGCAGAAGAAAAUAGCCCCAGCUGGCCCUUACUGGCGCGGUUUUCCAGUGAGGAUGGAUGCAGAAAUCCAACAGAAUGAUGGUUUCCUUCUGAGGAUGGUGGCAGAAGAAGAGAGAUUCACACAACUUUCAAAUGUUUUUCCCAGAAAAUGAACUGAUUGCUAUGAAACUGAACAGCCAAGCACCGCCCACUGCACAAAAGACUUUGGCCAAUAAGUACACUUUUUUUUUAGAAAUGCUUCCUAGCUAAGUUAUUAUCCUCCUUCUCUCUGUUAGCUUACGAUGAGAAAGUAUCACGAGAGAAGUGAAGAGUCUGCUAACCCGGACGGAAGACUAGGGCUGGGGAUCAGGAGCGACAAAGCCACGCAUGGCAGAUACUUGUUCCACGUUCAAAGUCAGGAGACGAGCGAUGCUGCCUGCUCCUAUAUGUUAUUUAUAUAUUAUGUUAAGCAACAACGUGCAAAUGAGCUGGAGUACAAAAUAUCAGCCACGCAAGAUGUUACAGUGCAGUACUACACAGCACAACAAAGCUAAGUGACUCUCCGUAUGGGGGCCUGUAUCCUAGGAGUGUUUAUACUUGACUGUAUAAUUGGGACCACAGCCAGCUCAUCCUAAAAUAUACAGCAUGAGUAUGGUUAGGCAUCGCAUCUGUAACAUAUACAACUUUAGAUGUCAAAGCAUCUUUGUUUGAAGUCAACAGCAAUAAAAACUGCAUUUGUACGAGAGCUUAGCAUGUGGGAAUACAUAUUGCUAAACCAGGAUGUUAACACAUGGCCCUCCUUAGUUUACUGCUGCCAAAAGUAUGCCUUUCAAAAUUGAAAUGAGCAUGCCAAUAAUCUGUAGGAUAUUUUAAAACUUGGAGAAGUCUGUGGCAAUCAUCCAGUAUUGGAGAAAACUCUUUUUGGGCAAAUUUACCUUUGGUAGUAACUAGCAUAAUUCCUACUCUGAAAGAUUUGGGUCCUUUGCAAGUAUGGACAUGCUAUAUAGGUAUAAAAAAAAUCCAUGUAAGGAUACUUCUGUCACGUUUCAUUUUGCAGAACCUUGGAUACUAGUCAUUUACUGACUAAUGUAUUUAUUGAAAUGACAACAGAUGUUUCAAAUGUAUACAAACCUGUCUUUUUAAGGUCACUGUCUUGAUGUUAUUUCAUUAAGGCACUCUGAAAUUUUAUCAGAACUGUCUUAAGCUCAUGGGUUUUCUGUAAAUUCCCUUUCUGGAUAUUAAACUUUAAACAAAUAUUAUGAUUGUAUUCCAAAGGCUUGAAUGGGCUGAUGAUUUUCAAAGUGCUACUUUGGCAUCACUGUACAGCUCCAUUCUUUUAUGUAUGUUUUGUUAAAACACAAAGAAACUCUAUUUAUGAAAAGUCAGUCUUAAAUCUAUAGUUUGUGAAGCCAUAAUUUGUGGUUGCAAUUGUGGUUAAUUUAACAAAGAAAGUCUUUCGGUUCACAGUGCACCAUACUUACAAUUUUUCAUAAACUAUCAGAGCAAAAAAAAACCCCUUCAACAUGUCAGAUAUAUGAUGAUCCAGCAAUGUUGCAAUUUUCCAACUCCUAUUUUGUGGUAUACCAUAUUAUAUGCACAGGAAUGCUACAUCAUUUAUUCUGGAGCACAGCCCUGUAAUUAUUGCUGGCAAACUACUAAUUACAUACCGCCAUCAAAUCUAACAAUUUUCACAAUAAAAAAAAAAAAC